UACGAUCGGUGACAGGUGGUGCAUGGUUGUCGUCAGCUCGUGUCGUGAGAUGUUGGGUUAAGUCCCGCAACGAGCGCAACCCCUAUUGUUAGUUGCCAUCAUUCAGUUGGGCACUCUAGCGAGACUGCCGGUAAUAAACCGGAGGAAGGUGGGGAUGACGUCAAAUCAUCAUGCCCCUUAUGACCUGGGCUACACACGUGCUACAAUGGUUGGUACAACGAGUUGCGAGUCGGUGACGGCGAGCUAAUCUCUUAAAGCCAAUCUCAGUUCGGAUUGUAGGCUGCAACUCGCCUACAUGAAGUCGGAAUCGCUAGUAAUCGCGGAUCAGCACGCCGCGGUGAAUACGUUCCCGGGCCUU
rnacentral:rRNA from 1 species